GUCAGGAUCGCCGAGUGGUCUAAGGCGCCAGACUCAAGGAUCAAUGCCUUCCAUGGGGAUGGGUGUUCUGGUCUCCUAAGGGAGGCGUGGGUUCAAAUCCCACUUCUGACA
rnacentral:tRNA from 1 species